rnacentral:rRNA from 1 species
AAACAAGAUUAUUCGCCAGAGAACUACUAGCAACAGCUUAAAACUCAAAGGACUUGGCGGUGCUUUAAACCCCCCUAGAGGAGCCUGUUCUGUAAUCGAUAAACCCCGAUAGACCUCACCACCCCUUGCUAAUUCAGUUUAUAUACCGCCAUCUUCAGCAAACCCUUAAAAGGAACAAGAGUAAGCAUAAUCAUCUCGCAUAAAAAAGUUAGGUCAAGGUGUAACCCAUGGGGUGGGAAGAAAUGGGCUACAUUUUCUAUUUAAGAACACCUUACGAAAGUUUUUAUGAAACUAAAAACUAAAGGUGGAUUUAGUAGUAAACCAAGAAUAGAGAGCUUGGUUGAAUAGGGCAAUGAAGCACGCACACACCGCCCGUCACCC